GAGGCGGGCUUCGGCUGGUGGACACCGGGGCCGGAGUGGCCGCCGGCAGUGGCUUGGGGUGGGAGCGGGGAGCAGGUCCGUCGUCGGCCUGUCGUCCUCCGCGACGUGUGUGUUUGUGUUUCAGGCCUCGGAUCGAGAAGAGAUCGAUUUUAGUUGCACUGCACAAAAGGAACAUGCGCUUAGCUAUGUGCUUUAGAGAUAUAUAAAUGGCAGCAACUAUGGACUCAUGUUUGUUUGUCUGCCGCAACAUCCUAUGUGAGGCGCACGGGUUACUUAUGAUACCCGUCAAACAUAUAUAUAGAAGUGACAUCGCAUUUCAAGAUUUGUAGACUGCUCGAGAUGACUAGGCGUAGAUACAUAAGUUGGUUGUGGACUUGUAAAACUUUUGUACUAUGUGAACGUCAUUGUAU